GGAGGGGUAAAUUAAUAAAAAAAAAUAAAUAAAAAAAGAAGUUUAAAAAUAUUAUAAUGGGGGUUAAAGUAUUUUUUAAGAAAAAAUUUUUUAUUUUAUAGAAUAUUAGUAAUGUUAAAGAAAUUUGAAAUAUUUGAAAUAAUAAUUUUUAGUAAAGUAAAUUUAGUUUGUUGUAUCUUGUGUAUCAGAGUUUAUUAAAAAUAAUAUUUAGGUAAAUAAGUCUCGAAUUUAAAAGAGAUAAUUAAUUAAUAAAGUUAAUGUGGAAUAAUUAUUUUAAAUAGUUAAUUUGAAAUGAAAUGUUAAUCGUUUUUAAAUAUAUCUAGUUUUUUUAGAAAAAAAUUUAAUUUUUAAUUAAUUAUUUUUUUUUAUUAAUUUUUUAAUAAAAAGAAAAUUAAUUUUAUAUUUUAAGGGAUAAGCUUUAAAUUAAAUUUUUAUAAAUAAAAUUAAUAAUUUUAAAAUUUUUAAAAUUUAUAUUUUUUAUAAAUUAUAAUUUUAUAUAUAAUUUUAUAUAUAUUAUAAUUUUAUUUAAAUUAAAAUUUUACAUAAAUUUUUAUUUUAAUAUUUUAUAAAAAAAUAAUUUUUAAUUAAAAAAAAUUAGUAAUAAUGAUAAAAUCAGUAUAUUAAAAAAAAAUAAAUUUAAUUAAAAUAAAUUAAUAAAAAGGAAUUCGGCAAAUAUAUAUAUUCACUUGUUUAUCAAAAACAUGUCUUUUUGUAAAUAAUAAAAAGUCUAAUCUGCCCACUGAAUUUAUUUAAAGGGCUGCAGUAUAUUGACUGUACAAAGGUAGCAUAAUCAAUAGUCUUUUAAUUGGAGACUUGUAUGAAUGAUUUGAUGAAAUAUAAACUGUCUCUUUAUUAAAAAUAAAAUUUAAUUUUUUAGUUAAAAAGCUAAAAUAAUUAUAAAAGACGAGAAGACCCUAUAGAGUUUUAUAUUUAUUUUAUUUAGAAAUUAUUUAUAUAAUUUAAAUAUAUAAUAAUUUAAAUAUUUUAUUGGGGUGAUAGAAAAAUUAAAUAAACUUUUUUUAAAUUUUAACAUUAAUUUAUGAAAUUAUGAUCCAUAAUUUAUGAUUAAAAGAAAAAAUUACCUUAGGGAUAACAGCGUAAUUUUUUUUUUUAGUUCAGAUAAAAAAAAGAGUUUGCGACCUCGAUGUUGGAUUAAGAUAAAAUUUAAAUGCAAAAGUUUAAAAUUUUUGAUCUGUUCGAUCAUUAAAAUCUUACAUGAUCUGAGUUCAAACCGGUGUGAGCCAGGUUGGUUUCUAUCUUUAUAUAAAUAUAAUAAUUUA
rnacentral:rRNA from 1 species